CCUACGGGGGGCAGCAGUGGGGAAUAUUGCACAAUGGGCGCAAGCCUGAUGCAGCCAUGCCGCGUGUGUGAAGAAGGCCUUCGGGUUGUAAAGCACUUUCAGCGGGGAGGAAGGCGUUAAGGUUAAUAACCUUGUCGAUUGACGUUACCCGCAGAAGAAGCACCGGCUAACUCCGUGCCAGCAGCCGCGGUAAUACGGAGGGUGCAAGCGUUAAUCGGAAUUACUGGGCGUAAAGCGCACGCAGGCGGUCUGUCAAGUCGGAUGUGAAAUCCCCGGGCUCAACCUGGGAACCGCAUUCGAAACUGGCAGGCUAGAGUCUUGUAGAGGGGGGUAGAAUUCCAGGUGUAGCGGUGAAAUGCGUAGAGACCUGGAGGAAUACCGGUGGCGAAGGCGGCCCCCUGGACAAAGACUGACGCUCAGGUGCGAAAGCGUGGGGAGCAAACAGGAUUAGAUACCCCGGUAGUC
rnacentral:rRNA from 1 species